rnacentral:rRNA from 1 species
GAUGAACGCUGGCGGCGUGCCUAAUACAUGCAAGUCGAGCGAACGGACGAGAAGCUUGCUUCUCUGAUUUUAUCGGCGGACGGGUGAUUAACACGUGGUUAACCUACCUAUAAGACUGGGAUAACUUCGGGAAACCGUAGCUAAUACCGGAUGAUAUUUUGAACCUCAUGGUUCAAAAGUUAAAGACGGUCUUGCUGUCACUUAUAGAUGGAUCCGCGCUGCAUUAGCUAGUUGGUAAGGUAACGGCUUACCAAGGCAACGAUGCAUAGCCGACCUGAGAGGGUGAUCGGACACACGGGAACUGAGAAACGGUACAGACUCCGAGGGGAGGAAGCAGUAGGGAAUCUUACGAAAUGGGCGAAAGCCUGACAGAGAAACGCCGCGUGAGUGAUGAAGGUCUUCGGAUCGUAAAACGCUGUUAUUAGGGAAGAACAUAUGUGUAAGUAACUGUGAACAUAUUGACGGUACCUAAUCAGAAAGCCACGGCUAACUACGUG